rnacentral:lncRNA from 1 species
CCCCCCCNCCCCCCCCCCCCCCGACUCCCCCGGGUUGAUGACAUACUUUUUGGUGCGUUCCCUGCGCCUACUCAAUAUUGUGCCGUUGAUUGUGUUGUUGCCGUGAGCUCUUAUUAGGUCGACAAUUGUCUGGCAUACGCGGCAUGCACCUUCUCUUGAUUCUUCUGCCGCAAGGGCCACUGCGGAUCUCACGAACAGCUGUUAACCCCUGGCGGGAGAUCUGGAUUUCCUUGGCAGAAGAGUGAAGUCUACUACUAUCUACUAGUUUCCUGUCUUCUGCUGUUGCCCUCCUGCGAAAAAAGGUUUCCUUUAUUUUACUUUAGUCCCCCUCUUUAUUCAUAACUACCUCAACCUAUAUUCAUGUUUUAUAAUACAAUUCUAAGCAUAGGCCAAGUGUCCCGAUUGAGCUCCUGACCAUCACUCCCAGCGGUUACAUUUGGAAGGACAAUUUCUUGAGCUUUCUUAUAUUAAGCGACCAUCAUGGGAACUUCUGAGUAGGCAGAUUUCAAGCAAUGAAGGCGGUUCUAAUUCACAUUAUUGGGAGAUAGACCAUCUAUCAGCAAUGUAACGAGGCUUACGCAACAGGGCGGCACAGCGAGAGAGCAAAAAACAGAAUUUUAUGGACCGAUCACUCUAAUUUCGUGUCAAAUUCAAUGUAUGGAAGUAUUAUUCAGGAAAUGAAUAAGAAUUAGGAUUUGGUAGGUUUUCCUCAAUUCUUCAGCGCUGAUAUGAAAACAAAUAAAUGGCCCUAUCCAAUCUUCCAGACAUACGGAUUCCAAUUUUGUUGCCAUCUUACAUGCGAAUCCUUCUUAAAAUAACUGUUUGUCAGUAUUUGUCUCAUUAAACUAUAAUUUGAAGAAUAUUUAUCAUUUCCUGCGUGCAACAGUUUCAACAAUGUGCUGGAUAUUGCUUAUGUCACGAACUUAAUCUAACAUUGAUCAGAAAAGCAAGAAAUGCAUACAAAUAACGGCACCUCAACAUUUUCAGUUAAUCUCUCGACAGUUUCUCAAUAAGUUUAAAUAAAACAACAAAACACAACAUGCUACAAUGUAUGGCACUAUAAAGAACAAAGGUGAUAGGAAGAAUCCGCAUAUGACAUCCACAGGUAUUUAUAUUUUGGUCGACUGAAGUUCAAAAUUCAACAAAUUAGCAACAUUUCCAUUUAGAGGUCUAUGCAACUGAAGGAGAUUAAAUCAGUACCUUUUACAAGAUCACUUUAGGAAAAAUUCUAUUAGGGAAAAAAUAUAAAAAUCAAUACACUAUAUGUCAGAACGUGAAGGACACUAAGAUGUACGCACAGUGGUUCGGCCUUUCUUUACCCUACAUGGGUUCUUACCCUUUGUUUUCACUAUUCUCAUUGAGAUAAUCAUUGGUGGAAUUCAAAAGAUUAAUAAAUCUUUUACACGUUAUAAUUCACAAGAUUACCUUCUCACACUAGAUACUGAGCCACUAUCUUUCCUUUCUACUUCCUGUUACUAACACUCCUGAGAGUUUCUUGCGUAAACAAUUAAGUUCAAAGAACUUAUAUCCCAGUCUAGAUGUUGAAAAGAUGAACCUCUUUAAUGUGAUAGGAAAUUGAUCGGUUGAGAAACCUUUGACGUGGCUUCACUUGCAUAAAGUUUUUGAAGAGAGAAUUAUAUUCUAUAUAUGUAUUAACUGAUCAUUAAAGCAUUAUUUUAAAUCAUUUUUCCUUAAAAAAGUGUGAAUAAUUUUCUCUGUUUAGUUCUAUUAAAAACAAAACUUAAUCUGAACAGUGACGGUUAUUUAUGGCACACUACUGCUCUGGCUAAUUUUGACAUAUCUUGCUCAGAUCACUUUUAUUAAAAGAAAUUAUUUUCUUUUUCUUAACAGUGUUUCGUAAUAAAAACAAUCCACUACAGAAAACUGUUUUCAUUAAGCCAUAUCAUGUGUAUUAUUUUUUUCAAUUCUGAAAAAUUGUGAAAAAAAUAUGUUUACACUGAAAACCAUUUUCCAAAAUACCGAACUUAUCAUAGCUUGUUGAAAACCAGAUUUUCUGAAUGAAUCUUGACUUCUGAUUAACAGCCUUUCAGAUUUCUAAACCUAUUUCAAUCUCCUGGAAUAUGGUUUUCCAGGUUUUUAGCUUAUUACAAUUACUUAGAAACUUGUUUUCAGAUUUUAUACUUCAGCAUACUUUAUCAAAAGUGUUGCAGAAAUUUGAAUUUAUCAUAGCAUCUGUCAAACCAGAUUGCUGAAAUUAUCUCAGUCUAUUAGAAAAAACCGUUUUUAAAAUUAUUUGUAUUGUUUAAAUAAUUUUUUUGAUAGAUUGCCGACUUUCUCACAGUUCGAUAGGAACCAUUAUUCUCAGAUUUCUGCAUUUAUCGCAAUUUUUUAAAAACAAGGUUUACAGACAUCUGAACUUAUUAACAACUUGUUGAAAACAGUUUUCAGGUUUCUAAGUUCUCAAGCCUCGACGUAAAACCAAUUGUUCGGAUUUAUAAAUUUAUAAGUUUGCAGGAAGCUCGUUAUAAAACUUCUGAAUUGAUAAAAAACUAUCGAAACCUAUAUUUUCAAGCUUGACUUCUUAAAAGUUUACUAGAAGUCCGUUUUAUAAACGUUUGCCAUUACAAUGUUCUGAGAAACCAGUUUUCAGACUUCUUAUUUCAUGACCAUUUGAUAAAAAACGGCUUUCUAGGAUUCUGAAUUCAUUGCUUCUUGCUGAGAAAUCAGUUUUCAUAAUUCUGAAUUUGUCAUAGGCCGCAAAAAACAUUUUUCAAGCCUUCUAAAUUUCUCGCAGUGUUGGAAAAAAAAUACUAAUCUCCUUCACUGAAAAAUUGAAAAUAAGUCAGUUGUACUAAAAAUAAAGUUCUGAUAUUUUAUCUCAUCACAGCCUAUACUAUAAAGGAUUUUUCCUGAUCUAUUAAUUCGUUAAAGUUUGCUGAAAAACUUGCUUCAGAUUUUUUUCAUGAAGUAUUGAAACAAGAAGCUUUAAAGAUUAAUAAAGUUAUUAUUAUUUUAUGAUAAAAACCAAGGUUUCCAGAUUUCUGAAUUUAUCACGAUUCCUUGAAAUAAGUUUUACCUUGUCUAAUUUAUCACAAUUUUCUGUAAAAAUAAUUUCGUAAUUUUCUGAAGCUGAUUUCUUAGACUGUCACAAUGUUUUCCCGGAACUGUCAAAGCUUUUCUGAGACUAGUCUUUUUAUACGGCUGAAAAAUUAUCACUUCACUUUCUAGAAAUAUUUUUGUACUACUGAAAGUUGUCGCACUGUUUCAAGAAACGAUUUUAACUUUUAAAACUAUGACUGUGUGGCGGGCGGUCGCGUAUGAAGAAGUGAGUGGCAGGCGGACGGUGGCUGAAGGACUGCGACUGUGCGACGGGCGGCCGCGUGUGAAGGCAGCGGCGGACGGCGGAGCUGAUAGAGGAAGGCGGCGGCGAUGGCGAUGGAUAACUGACCCUCACGGCCUCUCCUCGCGGAGCGAUAACCCUCAUAUCGUCUCCCUGAGUAGUCUCCCUUCUUUGGGCUAAAAGGUAUUUAUAACCACUAGGAUGGUUAAAAACUGAAAUAACUAUAGAAGGAAAUUAUGGCGUAAUGGGCUUGGGCCCACGUGCUGGUGACGUUGAGGUACCGCAACCCACGUCUCCCGGCUCGUCUUCGGUCCUUGGGAGUCACAGCUUGGGCGGCGUUCGAACGGAGCGGCGCCGGGUGAUCGAACUGGAAGAGGUGGAGGAAAGAGAAAAGGGCAAAGGAGAGCCGGCACUUUGGAUCUGAUUCAGCUCUAUGGAGGGCGGUGACGUCCAACAUCCCAGGAGACCAGGGCCCGUGGAGUCUCCUGGUUGCGGCAGCGUGCCAGAUGACGAAGAGCCGCCGUGUGCGGCCCCAAUAUCUGAUCCCGGAGAGGGUGGCGUGUCCGGGGGCCUCGCGAAGGCAAUAGCUUCGGUGCUUGGGGGAGUGCUAGAAGAUUAUGAUGCCAAGACGGAGGCUGUCACCAGGAGUCAAGACGUGCUCGGACUCUCCCUCGAUCGACUCACUGGAGGUACGCUUCCGGGACCCUCUGAUCAAAUUUUCUCCAAUACAUUUUUUUUCCGAUUUUAUCGUUUAAUCUGUUUUUACUGAAAAUUAGUGAGUCAAUUAUAAUACUUCUCCUAAAUAACUAUUUUCAACAACAUGUGCUUAAUUGAUAAAACCUACGUUCUGCUUACGGGCACUUCUAUGUAAUGAGUGACGAUUGAUGAUCAUGUGACACAUUUAUGAAUAUCACCGUUGAAUUUCUGUAUAUCAUUUUUACUGUUUACGAUAAAAUUAAGUCAUAAGUUCUAUUGCAUGGCAUGAUAUUGCAGAAUUAGACAAGCUUCUGGAGGAUGCACCCUUGCCUUUUAUUAUGCAACACGCUGCGAAAAUUUCAGGGAUUCGCAAGAGAAUUUUCGCGCUGAAUUCCAUGCUGAAGACAAUACAGAAGCGUAUUGAUAACAUGGACAUAAUCAUCUCUGCAGCUUCUCCUUUUGGUAAUAUUUCCAAAUAAUGACUUUGUAGAUGAUUCUAGUGGCUGAUCAUUUUCUAGUAAGUGAUGAAUGAGCCAAUUUUAUGUAAUUGAAACGCCAUUGAUUUCAUCAAUGGAUCUGUAUUUAUCGGUUGUCUAGCAUUGAAAUGAAGAAUAGACAUCCUCAUUGUGGAGCGGCUGUUAUCCUAUCGCGUCAUUUUUAUUUUUUUCUCAUUUUUCACUGGAUUAAAUUUUUAAUUGCUGAAAGUCCUGGAAACUAUUAAGAUCUUAAAAACUGCUUCUUCUUCCUGUACUUCUGCUUAAGAUGACAUCUUACCUGCAGCCGUGUCCGAGAAUCUGAGAGAGAAAAAUGAACUCGUGGUUUUGUCUUUUAUAAAGAGUAAGGGUUUAUUACUUGGUGAGGUUUCCAAUGUGCCUGUGUACGGAAUCUGAGGAAGUCAGCAUAACUUUUUUCUUAAAGGAGGGGGUGGAGAGCAUAGCCAUCCAGUAACAGUAUUUAAUGUGCUCAUAUUCUACUAAAAGUAAUGCUGGGAUUCAGCCAAAGCGUUGAAGAGGAUGGUUGACGGAGGAAUGUAGAGGAAAACAGUGAAGACCAAUAGGACCGGUUUCUUUAAUCAUGAGGCUGUGAAACCUAGUUUUUGGGAACUGUCAUUAAUGGAACAGGGAAACCAACUUGCCGAGGGUUUCUAACUUUCUUCCUUGAUAUGGUUUAUGUGAUAAUGAGAAGAGAAUUCGGACGUGUAUGCCCUCAGCUCCCUCUGCUUUCUGUGCCAGACUGAACCCACAUGAUGAGACCAAGGUUGACGGGUUUUAGGUUUCCUGGUUUAAUCAUCUCCCUUGGAAACAUGAGUCGCUAACUUUGGUUGUGUAUGCAUUGGAUCCACUUUGCACUCAGAGUGGGCAAUGUGCUGACUUAUGUACAAAUCCGCAUUGGUCAGUUAGCUGACGAGGUUACGAAGAAUUGUUCAGUUUUCUCUGAGCCAAUGGAAUGACCAAACUAUAAGGAAUAUGCCAAUUUGUGAAUGCAUGCUUCUUGUAUUUAAGCGAAGUUCAGCCAAUGCAUAGCUAGUUAUAUUUUGAUGUUUCUGCACCUAAAGAUGAUGCUUAUUUAACAAAGGGCACGCUUUACAUUUGUUUGUUAAACAUGAUGUCUGUUAGUUGAACUCCUUGAGAUUUGAGAGCUUUCUGAAUUUCCAUACUUCAUCAAAUGCUCUGAGUAUGUAUCGUCCAUUAAUGGCUUUUUCUCAGGGAGAGCAACAUCUGAUCCUAGGCUACAGGAAAGUUAAUCUUUUGCAACGUUAACUGCUGUUUUUGGCUCUUUUUAUAAUUCAUGAUAUGGCCCCCAUGUGGAUGUACAAAUGUUGAAUUAUAUAACAUGCAGCCAGAAUGAUCCAGUCAAUUUGACAUUUGUGAGGUGGAGUUAUUUUCUUUCCAUUAGGACCAUGAACCUCUGCCCAAAAAAACCAUCCAGUCCAACUCUUCAAUGAGUCAGUUAGGCCUAAUUCACAUGAGAGGUUUCUCCUUUCUCCUGCAAAGUCAUUUCCGAUAUAAAGUGGUAUUCUUCUUAGAGAAAUUCAAUGGUCAACCCCUUUCUUUCUCGACAUCUGGUAGCAAAUGUUUUCAUCUACGAAGGAUCUUUUGUUUCACAAGUACGGAUCAAUGCACUUCUUUAAUUUCCUAGACCCUUCAUAUUGGUAUUAAAUGUCAGAAGCACUAUUAUUGAUAUGAAACUAGUUGAGUAUGACGGUUCAUGUCUUCUCCAAGUUAUGGUCAAUUUUCAUUAGACUUUCAUAUCCAGAUAUUAGGUAGAGUUAAUUAGCAUGUAAAGCACAAUGCAGAAAAGUACGACUCCAGCAUUGAGAGAAAAGGACAUGCCAGAAACAUGAUGGGUGAAAAGGUCGUACAUGUGCAGACCAUUAUUGAUUGAAAGAAUAAGGCAUGGUGGAGAAAAGCCUGUAAAUAUAUGCGAAUAUUAAGAUAGAGAUGGCAGCUGCACGUCACAGGUAAAAGCUGCAAAAUUAAGAUGAAAAAGAAAAAAAAUCUCAUGGAAGGUUAUUUUCAGGGCAGAUAUACGCAGAUAUUAAUAGAAUCUGCGACAUUUUGGGAGUAUUUUGGCUGCUGGGUACUGCCCCAUCUCUCUCCCACCUCCUCUCUAGCACUUCUUGAGGAAGAAUCAGUGAAGGAUUGGCAGCCACCUACAACAUUUGGGCGACCUCGUCUCGGACAUUUAUUCUUCUCUUUUUCAAAAUUGAGAAAUAGGAAACUUUUGUUCCAAGGGUCAUGAUUUUCUUCCCCUCCUUGAUUAUUUCUAUUGCAUAACUUUUCUUUUCUACCUUCUGCAUGCCCUUGCACAGAAAUGAUUUGGCAACAAGAACUUAAGUCAAAGAUUAAUAAAAUAUAUAAUUGAUAUUACUGCGAGUUUAUUGCUUGAGAAAUAAAUAUGUAAUAAUUUAUGGUAACAUUUAUCUCUAAAGUUAGAGAUUUGAGGAUGUCUAAACGUGUUUGGGGGAGGGGGGGAGUCCAUAGAUUCAAUUGUAUUAAUCAAUGGAACGACAUCCAAUUUAUCAUGAGGAAAAAAAUCAUACAUUAGUAAUGAUGUUGCUGAAAUAAACACAAUAAAUCACAUAUAAUAGUAAACUAGUUGAUACAGGUAUGAUAGUUUAUCAAAUCAAAAGAUGAUUGAUUUAUAUCUACACAAAUUUUGGAGUGAUUCAGCUGGUAACUUAUCUACUAUCUUAAGUCUCAUCAAUAUCUUUGCUUUUACUAAUCUUCUAAAAAUACCAUUUGAUAUUCAUGGAUCUGGUCAUUCAAUAAUUAUCAAUACUAUCAAUUGCUCAAGCUCUUACAAAACUGACCAUCAGAUUUUAAACAGCCACUUUCCAAAAAGAUAUCUGCAUAUAAGUUUUGGAAUGAUUCAACAUGUAACUUAGCCAUCAAUAUCAUUUUGGUUUUACUAGCCUUCUAAAAUAUUACAGCCACUUGAUAUUCAUGGAUCUGGUCAAUCAAUAAUUAUUGAUACUAUGAAUUGCUCAAGCUAUUACAAAACUAAUCAUCAGCUUACUUUUAAAGAGUCACUACUUUGCCAACUUUCUCUGCUCUAACUUGUCAAAUAGUCCAUAAUUCCAUGAAACUUAUUACAAUGUAAGGCACAACAUAAUAUAUUUUAGGUGUUGGCAUUUAAAGACAAUAAUUUCUCUUCUCUGGUAGGAUUUUCAUCAAUGUCCUCAAAGGUAAGGGCCGUUUUUAGUUACCUUUCAUGCAAUAAAGUCAGUUGCUUGAAUGAAGGUUUUCAUUCUAAUUUUCCAGUAUGUGUAGUUUGAUUAACUAAAUAGUGGAAGCCUUUGAAUGGAGAGCCCUUGAGAAAAAGUGAUUUCUAGAGAUUUAGCCAUAUAUCUAGUCAACAUGUGUAAAUAUUUUAACUAGGGCAUGGUUUAAUGCUAAUUAUUAGUCCCAAGGUGCACCAAAUAGAAUAUGAGUUACAUUGAUUAUUUUAAGUACUUUCAUAUUUUUCUUUAUUUUUAGAUUUCCUUCCUUAGUUUUGUACUUAGUGGAUUGACACAAUUUGACUAGGGCUAGCAUAGAGUAGUUUUGGUGUGUUGACUUUAGAGCCUAAAUUAUAUCAUCAUCAGUUUACAUCAUGCUAAGUUGAAUAUUUUAUUAACCCUUGAAAAUAGCCCAUUGGUUGUAUUAUAGUGUUUAUUGAGCAUGUUAAAAAAAAAUAUUCACACAUAAUGAUUAACUUUGAUUCUUAUGUUGACACAUUAAUUAAUAAGGAGACAAUAGAGGACUCUUGGAAUGAUGCAAAAAUGAAAAAUUAUAAAAAAUGGGAAGUUAAGGAAAACUUUAUCCUCAACAUAGGUAACAAUGAACAAUAAAGAAAUCAAGACCAUUAGUAUAAAUUAAAGAACGAAAAAUGGGUAAAAAGGCACAACUUCAACGAACAUAUUCCCAAAUUGGAAGUUGGAUGAAUCAAGCCUCUAAGAAGUAUUUGACAUGAGAAUUUAUAAUGGUAAUUCAUUUCAUUUGUAGUGUGAAAUAAGUACCUUGUAUCUUUGUUGGUCCCUAAAGCUAGUAAUCUAGAUGGGAAGAGUGAGCCUCCAUUUUUCCCCAUAGCAUUGUUCAUUUGGAAGAAUUAUUCUUAUUUGAGUUGUGAGUUGACUAAAAUUAUUAAAUCUAUUGAAGGUAUCCUACACCUAUAAGUAUGAUUUCACUAAGGAUUUAGUUGAGCCUAAGGAUACUAUCUUCAAAUAGUGGAGUAGGCAAACUAGACCAAACCACUAUAAAUUUUUUUUGUGUGAGUAAAAUGUUACAUGAGUUUCAUGAAAAUGAGUUAUAAAUAUUGAAGGGAAAUUUUUUAAUAUUUUCUUAUUUUAAAUAAAUUUUAAUUAAUUUUCAUGAUUUAUUUCAGAUUAAAAUUUUUUAUCUAUUAUUUUAUAAAAUAAAUAAAUCAAUGAUUUUUUUAAAAAAAACUAUUAAGGGUGCUCUACAUUUAGUAGGCCCAUUGUAGGUUGGUGGGCCCAUUGCAUCUGAUAUUUGACAUUAGGUUCAAUGGGUUCACUAUUACACAGCCCAAGGAAGAAUUGUUGUUUCGAGGCUAGGAAGUAAGUCAUUCUAAAUCUCAUUGGGCCACUCAAGUCUCAAUCCAAGUCAGCCCUUGUGCCUAGCAAUGAAAUCCAAUUACCCAUUUAGGAAUGAAUACUUAAACUAUCAAAAGGCUUCUUACAUAUAACCAUGAAAAGUUCACCAAAACAACUAAUGUGGGACUUUAUAUUGUUUAUUUUGCAAAAUUUGAUUGUGACCAUUGGAUUGCAAUAUUUGCAUAAUGUAAUGUUCUAGAACGUGCCAUGUUACCCUUAAUCAAGUGGCAAAUCGAUAACAGUUUGAUCAUGAUAUAGACAAUUGAUAAAGCUCCUAUUUAUCACUAAAUAUUAGCUAAUAAUUCUAUGAAAAGUACUUCAAGGCACCAUAAUAUUCAUGAAUUGAUAGCUUUACAUGUUCAUGAGCUUCAUUCCUAAAAUGCACUGAGUUUGCCUUUAAAUUUUACUUCUUAGUUACAUCCAAUAUGGAGAAUUAUUUCUAACAAUUUUUCUAACCUUUUUCCUAGGAUUAUUACCUUGAGACGUUGAAAAAUUGUCUCAAGAACAAUCUCAAAAAAUUUCAUGAUUUUAUCGCUUUAGAUUGAUUUAACAUGGAAUUUACACUAAGGAGAAUACAUAAUAUAAUGAAGUCAAUGCUUGAAGAAGUCAACAGUUGAGAUGUCAUAAUUCCUAGUCAAAGAACGACUUCAAGUCAAAGAGUGGAAAAAAGAGGACCAUGUUCAAGGUUCAACACACCCUAGUGGAGGAAGAAGAAAGUUAAUUAGGAUUUUCCUCUCCCUUUAUUGAAUUCUAGUCUUUCUCCUUCUCAUUCUCUUUCUCCUUCUCAUUCUCGUUCUCUUCCUCUUUCUCUUUUUGUCAAAUUCCGUGGAGUUGAGGGAGGCUAUAAAUACCCUUUCACGACCACAAAAUUGGGGGUACCCCUCUACUGUCUUUUGAGGGUUCUUUUCCUGAAAUUAGAGGGAGUGAAAUCCCAAUCGUUCUUCCAACAUAUUCUUCCAUUCCUUUUUGUGGCAUUAUUACAAGUUCUUUUGGUUCUUACAAUUUCCAGAAAAUUUGAGGUAAGAGUACACCCUUUCCUAGGUUAAAUCUCGAUCUCUACUAAUCCAAAUAGUGACAUCUUGGAUUAAAAGAGAGAUCUAGGUCAGUUUUACUUCAGAAAUUACAAUUUCAAAAUCUCCUUUUCUGAGUUUCAUCAAUUCUAGUUCAUGUUCUUCCAUGUUCUUCAAUUUUCAAUUUAAGUGAAGUAGAUUCAAUAAAUAUAGAACGACCUCAAGAUGAUUUCGAAUUCAGUAUAUAAAUACUUCAUCUCUAUUAACCUCAAAAUAGUUUCCAAUCAAAAUUAAUCAACUCUCAACCUUCUGCCACGAAUUCCUCUUCUUCCCUUCCCAUUUCUCGGUAAAUGAACAUUUCUCUUAUUUCCCCAAUGAAUUUUGCGGUUCUCUGAUUUUCUGUUAUUCCGUAUGAAUGUCUUUUUGGAUUUAGAAUCAUUCUAACUUCAUUUCAUUCUUUUUUAGAUUCCGUUUGAAUUCAUUUAACUUGUUUCAUAUAUGAACACUCUAUUUUAGAUUCAUCGCAAUGUUUUGCAUCAUGAAGUGAUUUAUUGUAUUAAUUCUUUUCAUAAAAUGUUCUAAAUAGAUAUAGGAACAAUCAUUGCAUACCUAAGAUCAAUUUUUACUCUUGGAAACUUACGUUUUGAUUUUUUUUAGAUAACAAUAGUGAGAGAAUCAAGCACUAUACUCUGUUUUGGUGAACCGCCAUCAUCCCUUCAUCUCAACUCUCAUAAAAAAAAAUAUUCAUAAAAAUUCGAAGUAAUUACCUCUUAAUUCCUUGAGGAUCAAACUGAACUCCCCAAUAUAUUAAAUUUAGUAACUCAUAUUUGGAAGUCAGUUUAUAAAUUUUAUUUGAUUAACCACUAAUCCUAACGACAAUUUUUGGUUUAUCAACAAUCAAUUAUCUUAGUUUUUUUCAGAAGUGUCAUGCACUCUCUAGACAUAAAAUCAAAUUUGAUAUGGCUCACACCACUACGAUUCGGCAACUUUUAGAGCACAACAUACAUCAAGUGCUAGUGAUAGAUCUAACAAUACACAAUAGAUUGAUUGGACAAUGGAGAAAGUGUCAUGUGAGUAUACACUUGAGUUUCGAUGAGGCAUAUCAACCAUUACGAUUAUUUGUUGGUUAAAUAGGCAAUGUCAAUUAUUGUAGGUUAAAUAAAAUAAUGGAGAGUUUGCUGAUAGUAGAUAUUUUGUCUUCUCUCCUUGCACUCAAUCAAAAUCUUAGGCAAUUACAAACCCUCUUCUUAACUUUCUCAACUACACUUAGGGCCUCCAACGAGCGGCCACAAGUAUUCCAUCCCUCCCCAAGUGAUGAUGACAACAACAUUGACCCUUCAUUUCGCAUAAUCCUUCUGAUAGCAACAUAGAGCCGUUGUACAAUCUUCAUGUGUCUUUUGACAUAGUACGACAGAAACAAACAAUACAAAAGCCACCACAUCAGUGUCUCUUAUUACUUCAAAGGUAGACCCAUCAGAGGACACUAUUAGUUUUAGAUUUAAUUUAUAUUUUAUUUGAUUUUUUUCAUGAAUGAUAAUAUCUAGAUGUUUGUUAGAAAUAAUCCGAAGAACUCAUUGAAAACUUAAUCAAAAUCAUUACUUUAUACCCUAGAUCUUUGGCAACUCAUCUCAAAAUAUUAUGGGCGAUUUUGAAUCAUUUUAUAAUGAUUUUGACCAAGAAAUCUAGCGAAAAAUCCUUGCCUUUUCUAGGACUACAGAUCAAUUUUAUGGCGAUUUUUAGUGAUUUUUCUCCUAUUUUCUAAAAAUUUGGUGAUUUUUUUAUUUUAUUAUGAAUGUCUAAUCUUAAAAAUUGGUGCAAAACUGAUUUGGCCAUUUUUCAAUGUGAUUUUACACCUUUUUUGUGAGUUCUCUCUCACAUAUUUGUUUGAAAAUUGUAGUCAAUGUGGCACAAGAUGUGCUGACCUAUGAUUUUCUCUCUCCUAAUUAUCAUCUUUAUUCUUUAUCUCUCAAUCCCUUAUUCUCUCUCCUAUUUCCACCUAAAACUCAUCUAAAAUUCCAAAUCCCACAUCUAUCUCCCUUAAUUCUUCCUUUUGACUCCCUUCAAAAUAUGAUGUGUGUGUGUGUGUGUAUAUAUAUAUAUACUCCCCUUUUCUAUCUCAUAUUCCUUUCAAAAUCUCAUUUCUACCCCCUAAUUUUCUCCAUAAAAUUUCCUUCUCUUUUAUUAUUCUUUUAAGAGAAUAAUAUGAGAGAAAUCAUAUUUUAUUAUUAUUCAUAUUUAUGUUGUAUUUAAAUAAAUAAAACUAUAAACUUAUUAACAAUCUAAAAUUACUUAGAAAACUAAAAUAAAAAUUUAUAUGGAUGACAUAUUAUUCUUACUCCCUAUGACUUGAGAUUCAUUGCUUUACUAAAUUUUAGAUUAGUUUCAGUUAUAAAUAUUAUUAGAUAGUAGGUAUUCGACAACAAUGGCAAAUAACUAUCAUUAACUCGUGCUACCAUAUCUUAUUUGACAUGGUCUACACAAUCUAGUUGGGACAAUGUUCUUGAAUGGGGAAGAAUCGUCACGAUGAAGGAGAUUGCAUGAGAAGAAGCAAAUUAAAGAUGUUUUCACUAGAUGACUCGUAGGAGGUGAGAAGGGCCCUUACUCCAUCUCACACAGUUUACUACUAUCGGCCUUGUAGGCUAUAUGGAGUUAAGACACUCAAUUGACCUAGGUUAAAUGGCACAUUGUCUUGGAAUGUAUUAAAUAAAUAUUUAUUAUCAUUCUACUCCUCAAAUUAGGUCUAAUUAUCAAAGGUUCUUAUCACUACUUUCUAUUAUUCUCUUUUGAGGUAUUAUAAAUUGUUGAAAUUUUUAUUACAUCAUAUGAUACUAAGAGACGAGGAAGUAAAUUAGUUUUCACUCUAAAUUUGUGAGAUAUUCAGACUUCAAGAGUUGAUUAAGAUUUUUACUCGCACAAGUCUCUACAUGAUCACCUCUACUCUCUUAAGGAUUGUAUCUUUGGGUGGGUUCAACUACAUCUUUAGUGAAAUAUUCACUUUUUUAAGAAUUAAGUCAUCCUCACAUGACUAACUACUUCAACCAACUCAAGAUUUCAUUUACAAAUCUUCCUUUAGAUUCACAACUAUUGAAGAUUAAAUCACAUAAUAAAUCAUGUGAAGAUGAGUAUCAAUUGUAAAUUAAAAUAUAAGGUAUAAUGAGUUAUAACCCUUUUUGUUUAAGCUCCUAACUUGUUGGAAGAUUGACUCAAUUGAUUUCGCAUUUUAGAAUCUACUUCAUAAAGAAUAUACAUUCUUAAAAUAUUCUCAUUUUUUUAUUUUUUUAUGAUUUUUGAACCCAUCUAAUGGUCCAAAAUUACUCUAUUCACAAAGGCCAUGUUGGUUCCUUGAUAGGCUGAAAUGUAAGCCAAGAAAGGGAGUGAAUUGGUUUCCUAGUGUGUUUUAACAUUUUUUUCAUGAUUUUUAGUAAUUUAGUAAGUUUCAAUCAACACAUGAUUUAGUGGGUGAACACAUAAUACUAUGUAUUAACAAUAAUGAUUGGAUUGGUCGACAUACUAAGUAGACAUAUCAAUGAUUAGAUGAGAUAUAAUAAUUUUUUGAUAAAUUAAUUACUAGAUAAGUCAACACACAAGUUGAGCUGGCAGACUAACACACUAAUUAAGUUUAUAUGAUAGUUCAUAUCACAGAAAGAUUUAUAGUGUUUAAGUCUUUUCCUAGCCUAGAUUUACUUUCCAAGGCACACAGAUUUAAUCAUAAAAAAUUAACAUUAUAAAAAGCAUUCAUAUAAAAAUAAUACAAUAUUAUUUUGAUAAAUCAUUUUCUCAUUGAGUAGGCACAUAUUUUUCUAUAUGUUUCUCCUCAUUUUUGUCAAGUUCAAAAAGGGCACAUGGUGAAAGCAAACAAGAAGACAAAUGCAUGCUCACUCAAUUUGAAUAUUCUUCUUGUCACUUUAUCUUCAAUGAUCUUCACCUAGCCUUCUAUUCAAUUAAAAAAAGCUUUGUAGAGGUAAAGGCCUCUUGGAUGAGAGGAAGGGAGAAUGGGGCUAAAAAGGGGCAAUGGGACUGAUGAGAGUAGGAUGAUUAGACUAAGUACCCUAAAAAACUAGAAUAACACAAAACCUAUCUAUCAUUAUCAAGAAUAUAGUCCAUCUUAAUGAGAAUACGUUCUAUGUCAAUCAAUGAGGUCUUGAGAAUGACUAGAUACAUGUUACUUAUAAUUGAGAUCUACCCCAAAGUGUAGGAGAAGUUGCAAACAAUGAGAACUUGGAUAAAGUAGUGGGUCUCCUAAAAUUAUUCCUCAUUUUUUUCACCAUGAUGGAAUUGAGGUUAGUUUCAAAUCCAAUGAAGAAAACUGUGAAGUAGGAAUAUUAUAUUCUCAUAUAGGUAGUAAAAGACGUCAUUUAAAUAUAAUAGUCAUGAGAUAUUAACAGAUAAAUUAGAUGUCAAGGAAAAGUUUUAUAACUCUGAUAAUUGUGUAGUUAAAAACAACUUUGACAAUAAUAGAGGUUAGGAGUUUUGGAAUAGUCUAUUUGCCAAAGUAUGUUAUACUUUAGUGGGAGAUAUGAAGAAUCAAGCUUAUUAAGAAUUUUCUUGAUAAUCUUUUGAUAUCCAUUAAUUUUCUUGUAAAAAACUCUAUUUGACAUUGAAGCAUUUAAUUUUAGAGACUUUAGAAUCAUAUACCUACAUAAAAUUCAAUGAGUUUAAGGAAACUAUGAUGUGCAAUGUUAAUGACAAUUGGCUUAGUGCCAAAGCAAUAAUCAAAGGUGUUGGCUGAUCUAUUCCUUUUCAGUAUUGUUAAAUUAUGUAAAAUACUAAAAUAAUAAUAAUCAUUAAUAUUUAUAUGUAAUGUAUAUGAAAGUUUUGGAACUACUUGUUGUACUUGUUUAAACUUGGGCACAUCAUUUUUAAGUUAUUUGAUUUAAUAAAAAUAACUUAAACAAUAAUUUAGAAGAGUAAAAUUCUCAUUGAGUUGUUAACUAAAAGAAGAUUAAAUUUUAAUUGAAACAAUAAAUUGAAGAUAUUAUCUAUAAAUUUUUGCUAUGUGCAUAAAUAACAACAUCAAGGGUGUCCAUUGAGAAAAGUGUUAGGUUAUGACUCACACUAGGAUUAAGAAGUGGGGGUUUAAUUGAUAUUUUGGUCUAAUAUAGUUUAUUUCAAUGUUUUUAACUUUUCUUUCUCCUAAUGAUUCAUAUUCUCUUAUUAGUAGAUAUAAGAUUGAUAAACUUUUAUAAUGGUUCAACAUGCUAUCUACACCCACUCAUCAAACAUAACUUCGUUCUUAGCUUCUACUAACCAUAAUUGUUUGAUCACACACUACUAAUUAUUGGGUUCAACUUGUACAUAACCUCACUCUAGAAUUAUCUUCUAUAUUCACCACACUAUGAGAUCAAUAGUUGUUUAAAGGAAUAACUCAUAUGAGUAAUUAAAUAAUUUAAUCACAUGUUUAUUCCUCAAUUUUAUGAAUUUGACUAUAGGUGGUGUUCUAGAUAUUAUGUAAAGUUUGAAUAUUUCUAGUUUUUUAAUAAAAAGGAUGAUGUUUGUUGACUUUUAAGUCAUUGUUCUCUUUUUGUUGAGUUGACGUUUAAUAAAGAGAAUGAUUCUUAAGCUUCAAACAAGUCAAAGAGGAUUUUUUUUAUCUAACAAUUUCUUCAAAAUAAUGAAUUUACAUUGUUUUAUUUACUAGCACAAACCUCUAUAUUUUUUUAUUGAAUUUAUUACAAGAAUACUUAAUUUAAAGUUGGAGGCCUUGAGAAAAAAAUGAUAAUCAUUCCUUGUUAUUAUGGUUCCUAUAAAAUAGACAAAUUUAUAGAAAAUUUUUAUAAAAAUAUUCCCUUCUCCACUAUUUUUCAACAGCUAUUUUCUCUAAAAUGAGAUUAAUUUAAAUAGUUGAGAAAGUAAUACAAUAUGCCAUUUAAAGAGUGCUAACGUCACCAUAAGAAAUAACUACAUGAUUCUUUUAUCACUUAACGUUCAUAUAUAAAUUUUAUUGCCACAUUUUAAUUUAUUAAGGAUUCAAUAUUUUAAGACCAUGAUUGAUAAAACAUAUUUCAUUAAAAUGAUGAUAAAACAAUCAAAGUUGAUCUAAAUUAUGUUAAAUAAAUUGUGAUAUCCUAAAAGACAUCUCGAUAGAUGAUCUCAAUAUAUCAAAUCAUGAUUUAAGUGAUUCAAAUAAUAAAUAAAAUUUUCAAUAUGUAUUCAAUAUUAUCUGAAAAAUAUUUUUUUGACAUAAAUAUGAUGUCUUAAUGUACUAUUUUAAUUUGAUGUCAUUUAUAACUAAAUUUUGUAUUCCCAUAUUUUAUUUCAUGAGAUCUUACUAAUUUGAAUGUCUCAAUCAUUCCUGUUCUUAUGAUGGUAACUUCUACAAAUAUUUGUGAUUUUCACAACAAUAUAAAAAUUAAUAAAUAAUUAUUUAUAUUUUUACUCAAUGUGACUAAAUUAAUAUCAUGGGUCACGAAUGUACUUUUUAAGUCCUCAUAAAAUUUACUAAAAUUAUUUAAAAUUUUAUGUAAGUAAUUUAAGAUUCUAUCUCAUGUCAUGUAUGUUCUGAAUUGGAUAUAAUUUGAUCUUAAUCUUGCCAGCAUCAAAAUGUUAUAUAUAUAUAUAUAUAUAUAUAUAAUACNNNNNNNNNNNNNNNNNNNNUAUAUAUAUAUAUAUAUAUAUAUAUAAUACUGCAUUAAAGAGUAUGACCAUAGAGAUGAUACAGGAUACUCUUCCAUUUUCAAAAUAUUUAUGAAUUAUAGUUUUUUCUAUUUUAUUUUUUCACUAAUUUAAAUACGUCCGAACUAAACUUAAAAGGACAUCAAAAAGGCAUAUCUUCUUUGCUAGAUUUAUACGCCAUAUUUCUCCUCAAAUAAAUCUGCACCACACUACUCUCUCUCUCUCUCUCUCUCUCUCUCUCUCUUCUCAUAUUUAAAUUCAAGAAGAGUCCGCUUUGAUCGUAGGAUCUCAGCUGGCGGGAUCGGUUGCUAGAGUGAUCGGCGCAGGAGAUAUCAACUUCGGGUUCAUCAACAUCAGCCACACGUACGACCAGAUCACGCAUGGCGGCGAGCUCCUCAGCCUCUGGCAGCUGUAGAGCUCCUACAGCCGUCCAGGUCCUGUCUGAGCUUCAACAGGAAAGACAGAGCCUCCUCCAUGUCCGGCCUGGCUUCGGCUUUGUGCCGUGUGCAGCACAGGGCCAGCUCCAGGAGCUCCAUCGCCACCUCCGCCUCCCCGCCGUCCAGGAGCUCCAGUUCUGGGUCGAGGACGCCGAGCACCGCCUUCCCUCGGCCGCCAACCGCAUUCGCCACGAACUCCGUCAAGGUGAGGGGAUGACCACCCUCUUCCAUUCCUCCCGUCGGCCUUCUCCUGGUGAGGAGCUCCAUGACGACGACACCGAAGCUGUAGACGUCCACCUUCGGGGUAGCCUUCCUCAUAUACGCGAACUCUGAGACAGAGAAGGAGAGAUCAGAAAUCGCAGAUGAGUUAGACGUAUAGCAGACAGACAGACCCCAGCGGAUAUGCUGCCGCUACCCGGAGCCAUGUAGCCAAUGGUGCCUCGGAAUACGGAGGAGGAGGAAAUGGCGUCGCCGCCGUCUUGGGGAAGAUGGACGCCGAGCAUGCGGGCGGUUCCAAAAUCGCCCACGCGAGCUUCCCAGUCCCGGUCGAGGAGGAUGUUGGAGGGCUUGAGGUCGCAGUGGACGAUGGGGAAGUCGUAGCCCGAGUGCAGAUAGGCGAGGCCAUUCGCCACGCUGGUGCAAACCCUCAACCUCUCCGACAACGUCCACCGCGACCGAUCCAGGAGAGGGUCGUGGAUGAUCCUCUCUAGGCUCCCGUUCUCCAUGAAUUCCAGGGCUAGGGCUUUCAGCCUCCCGGAUUCCCAGGCAUAGCCCACCAUCUUGACCAGAUUCCGGUGCCUCAGAUGGCACAGAGUCUUCAGCUCCGUCAGGAAGCACUUAUCGGUCUCAGAGGGGAACUGCUGCAGGUUGAGCUUCUUCACAGCGACGACCAUUCCGCUGCCUUCUUCGAGCCUUCCCUUGUAGACGGUACUCAGAUGGCUGCUCCCGAUCACGUUCUCUUCGUUGAAGAAAUCAGUAGCGAGUUCCAUAUCCCUCCGCGUGAAUCUCUUCAAGCCUGGCGCCGCCGACGGUAACUCUGGUCCGACAUCCUUGAUGGGUUCUUCUUCCGGUCUCCGCCUCCGGCGCCUGGUUAUGCAGAGUGUCGCGAGAGCCAAGAGCAGAAGGGCAGCUAGAGAGAGAAACAAGACGACCACCAAGAAGGCCUUCUUCAAGAAACGAUUACGACGUUUGCUGUUGCUGCACGGUACCAGAAAGCUCGCUCCACAGAGAGCGGAGUUUCCUUCCAAGCUCGUUGGCUGCAAGUGCCGGAAUAUUCCCCCAUGUGGGACGGGUCCCCGAAGCUGAUUCCACGAGACGUUAAGGUAUCUCAGGCCGGAAAUUUUGGCCAGCCCCUGGGGGAUUCUCCCGCUGAAGUCAUUAUGGGAAAGAUCGAGAGAGAUAAGAUGCUUGAGUUCUGCAAGAUCAGCAGGGAGGUCUCCUCCCAGUUUGUUCAUCGAAAUGUUCAGGCUAGACAGCGAGCCGAGCUGAGGGAAGAUACCGGGAGGAAACUGACCUGAGAGCAUAUUUGCAGAGAGAUCCAGAGAAACGAGGUUCCUACAUCCCCCUAGUGUCUGUGGAAUAUGCCCAGAGAGAUUGUUGUGCGACAGAUCGACGGUCUGUGCCAUGUUCAAUACCCCCAGCUCGUCCGGAAUAGAACCUUCAAGAAAAUUAUUGGACAGAUCAAGAAGCAUCUGCAUGCUCCUCAUACCGGCCACCAUUGACCCAAGAAUAGAUCCAGUGAGCUCAUUGUGAGACAGAUCUACCGACAAGAGCCGCUUGAGACUGCCCAAGCUUCUUGGAAUAGAACCACUGAGCAUGUUCCCGUGAAGAUCCAGGUAGGAGAGCAUCUGGAGGUUCGAAAUGGCGUCCGGGAUCGAUCCGGUAAACCUGUUCAGCUGCAACUCAAGGGUGUUAAGCUGCUUCAACUCGAAGAUUCCCUCAUGGAGCAACCCGUCCAGAGAAUUCUUCUGAACAGAGAGCCCCAGGAGGUUCGACAGCUUCGAUAUUUCCGAAGGGAUCUGACCAACAAAGUUGUUUCCCCCAAGCUCCAAAGUCAGCAGCAUCGAUAAAUUCCCAAUAUCGGGCGGAAUCCUCCCAGAGAACGAAUUCAUAUGCAGUCUCAGCCGCCGUAGACUGGCCAGUCUGCCAAUACCAGAUUUCAGAUGCCCAUUGAAACCAUUCCGUGCCAAAUCCAAGGUUGCAAGAUUAGAGCAAUUGAAUAGGUCGUCUGGCAUAUCCCCAGACAUGAAGUUUCCUCCGACAGAAAAGAAUGUGAGAUUCCGCAGGCCGCCCAGGCCCACUGGAAUCUUCCCUGUAAAUCUGUUUCCAGAGAAGCUUACUAUAGCGAGAUGGGAGCAAUUGAUGAUGCUGGGUGGUAAUGGGCCUUCGAGGGCGUUGUCGUGGAUGAUGAGCUGCUCUAAUCUGGAAAGCGAUCCCAAGCUUGUGGGAAUAUAGCCUGUCAGAUUGUUAGAGCUCAGCGACAAGUAGAUCAAGUCGGACAGCUUUACCAAGGAUGAAGGGAUGCUUCCUGUCAACUGGUUCGAGUGAAGGGUGAGACUUCGAAGCGCGCCCAGGAAACCGAGCUCCGGUGGUAUGCUUCCGAUCAGCUUAUUCCUGGAUAGGCCUAGAUGGGUCAACGACCUGCAGUAGGAUAACGAAGCAGGGAUCGUUGACGACAGCCUGUUGUCAGACACCCGCAGAAUUUCCAGGUUUACCAGUUGCCCGAGCUGGGGGGGAAGACGACCCGUAAGACUGUUGCUGUAGAGCAUCAGAAGAGUGAGAUUUCUGCAAUGCCCAAGCUCCGGAGGGAUCUGACCGAAAAACUGGUUCAGAUGAAGUUGCAGAGUGGACAGUCUUGAGAAGUUUCCGAUCUCGGGAGGAAUCACCCCAGACAACUGAUUUUCGCUCAGGUCCAGUAUUUUCACGAGCCUCAGGCUCCAGAACGAGGUGGGUAUGGAUCCGUACAACUGAUUGCUGUAAGCAACAAGUAUCUCUAGGUUAACGAGAUUACCCAUGCUCGACGGGAUGGGGCCGGUGAGGUUAUUAGAGUUGAGGCCAAGGGCAAACAAGGAAGAACAGUUGCAGAUGCUGUCAGGAAUGGCGCCAUUGAAGAAGUUGUCCCCCAAGUCCAAGACUUUGACCUUCUUCAGAUUCCCCAGCUGGGGGCUAACCGGGCCUGAGAGACGAUUCUGGGGAACCAACAGCUCAACCAGUUCCGAACAGAGCCCGAGCUCAGCUGGGAGAGAACCGAAGAGCGCAUUGGAUGAGAGGUCGAGGUACUGGAGAGUGGAGAUGUUCCCGAGAUAAGGGGAGAUCGUGCCGCCGAGCUGAGACUCGAAGAGAGAUAUCGAGAGGACGGAGGUGUUCGAAGGAUCGCAGGAGACGCCAUGCCAGCUGCAAUGGUGAGUUGCAGGAGCCCAGCUCGCCAGUGCCCCCAAGGGGUCUUCAACAAUGGAGUCCCUGAAGGCCAUUAGAGCUUCCAGUUGGGCAUCGCCCCGAGUCCGAACAGACUCAGGAAGGAUGGGGAAGAAGAGCAGGAACAGGGAGAAGAUGAAGCUCGGCAAAAAUGCCAUCGCUCCCUGCUAAAAUGCUCGGCUAAGGUGGUGAUGAUUUUAAAGGCAUUGGAGACGACGACAGGAACGUAAGAAGGCGACGACGAACAACACAAUGCGUCCGCAAACUCGGACGGUACCCGUGAAAUGCCGCCCCUACUAAUAGACGGAGGUUGAAACAAAACAAGGGUAUCCACACUACGCCAUUUUGACUCGGGGAAAUCCUUGGACUUUGACCUUUCGGCGAUGAGAAUCUGGAUAAGAUCGGCCCAGCCAAACGCGGCGUAAUCAUCUCUCACUCUGUCAUCUUAGUCAGCGCCAGAUUCUCCAGUCCCUUGGCAAUCCCAGUCGCUGAGAAGUGCGGGGCUUUCAACCAUCAACAGUCCUAACUAGGCCCCACACGUACUGUUUCUUAUGGGAGCAGACGGAUGUGAGAGAUUCCGACCUCCGAAGAAGGUGAUAGAGGAAUGGUCUGGUCAACUGCUGGAGCACGUGGAAACUGGCAGCGGAAUGGACGCGCAGGUUUGAAUGGAACCCGGCGGAGCCAACGGGAAUAAUCCACCAGCCGGGACCCCGUGGAAUUGCCCUCAAAAAGUUGACACGACGAUUUCCACUAAGAAAAUAUCUUCUCGAAUAUCGCCACCUCCUCAAAUAGACAAUUACAGGAAUAAUAAUAGAGCUUCUUGUGAAAAUGGUAAGAACAUCCAGUCGAUUAUUCUUCUGACUGUCUAAUGAUGCAUUUAUAGAUGAUGUCACCAGUUGACCAAUAUCUCUCGCUUUUUGGCUUAUGCCCCCGUUUGAAUAAUAACCGCACAAUUCUAUGCGUCCCGACUAGGGUACCUAAGUAGGGUAUUAUGGAUUUUUUUUCCAGGAAUUUAGUUAUUGUUAGCUUGUGUUUUUCUCUUUUAUUCUAAGAAGAAAGAAGUAAUAAGACAAGCGACUAUAGUAUCCUAAAGCAACUCAUAGCCACAAGAGUUCACAAAAUAAAUCUAUACAUAUUUAUCCUCCUCUAUUUUAUUACUUUUAGUACUUAAGCAUGCCUAAAGCCCCAAAUGUAUAUAUAGUUUAACAUUAAUCAAUUUUGCAACAGAAAGUUUGAAUCUAGAACUGUUUGGCAUUGAGAACCUUGAUUUUUUUAGUGAUGACAAAAAAGGUAAUGCAUUAAUAGAUGGAUGAUAAAUUUAUGUUACCUUCACAAUGCAAAUCCUUAUAAAUUAAAUCAAAUGAUUCAACUUUAAUAAAUUUGAUCCAGGGAAAAUGGUCCAUAUUCAUAUUCCCGGGGAGAAUAUUAUUUUUUGAUUCAAUAAAGAACGCAUCAAAGGUUAGAUAUUUUGAAUUCUUAUGAUUUUCACUAGAUUAAGGAAAUAUAUAUGAAGUUUGAAUUUCAAGCCAGGACUUGACCCAAAAUGGAAAAUUAUCCAAUUAUUGUAAUGACUAUUGGAGGGCUCAAUAUACCACAUAUAAAAUGGGAAUUUUAGGUUACUAUAAAAUUUGAGCAAAAUAGAAGGGGCAUUUGUCUUUUUCUUUCAAAGAGUUCAAGGCUGAGACCUACCUCUUUGAGUGGUAAAAAAGAAAUAAACUAGUUGUGAUGAAGCCUCCAUUAAGUUCAUCUUAUAUCAAUUACUUUCUCAACUAACUAUGAGAAAUUUAAGCAAUGAAAACUAUGGGCUGAAUGUGUGAGAAUGUUGAGUUAUUCUUAAUUUUAUCCUUAAGUUUGUUGAAAUCAAAAAAAUUCAAAAUUUAUGAUUCCCAAUACUUAUAUAUUCAAUAUUUAGUUCUUAGAGCUGUAUGAUGCAAAACAUUGGCUCAUUAAGGCCUAGAUAUUUGAUUGUUGGUCUUUUGAGUCAUAGGAAUGAAUAUCGAGGUUCAUUAAGGCCUAUCUAUUCAAUGGACCCUACUUAAGUAGGUCAUUUAGUGUGUUUCACUUGUAGAGUAAUAGAAGCCAAUACUUAGUCAUUAAAUAAUAGAGUAGAUUGAUCAAAAUAUUGUAAGUUGUUACAUGUGAAUAUUCAUUACUUUUUUCCAUUGGCUGAUAAAUAAAGAGAAAAAGAAAAUAGUUAAUGCUUCUUCCCCUUGGAUUAUGGUAAUGCCUAAGCUAAAUUAACAAACACUAUGGUUAGGUUGAAUCUCAAAUUUUAAUUCAUGGAUUGUUGAUGUAGCCCAAAUUAUCCUAUUAAAAAAAAUAUUUUUGACCUAAGUGGUUGAUGCAUUCCAUUUAAGGUCCAACAAAAGAUUAACAACAAUGUCUAUAUCAUCGAUUUACUUGAGACCAUAGGGAUAUCAUGCAUGAUCAAUCUGAUACAUUUAUAGAGUAUUUUUCACAAGUAGUUCUCAAGGGAGUUCUUUUGAAGAACGGGAAAAUAAUACAACCAACAUAACAUGUAUAUCAAGUGGAGCAGGACCCUACAAACUUGAAGAUAAAAGAUUUUCUAUUUUUAGAAAAUUCCUUAUUUAUACUCUUUCUAUUUUUAGAAAUUUUAUUUUAUUUUUAGAACUCUCCUUAUUUAGACCCUUUUCAUUUUUAAACUAUCUUCUAUAUUUAGUAUUUUCUGUUUUAAGCCACCUUUCAUAGCUAGCCCUUUCUAUUUUAGGUCACCUUUCAUAUUUAAUUAUUUAUAGUUUAGGCUACCUUCCAUAUUAGCCAUUUCUAUAGCUAGCCCUCUCUAUUCUAGAUCACCCUCUAUUUUAGAUCACUCUCUACUUUUAGGCACCUCUUAUUUUAUCCCACCUUAUUUGCUAGGUUAUUUAUGUUUCCUAUUUAAUUCUAUUUUAGGUCUCUUGCUAUUCUUAUUAUUUUUAUUUUUUAAUUUCCUUGUAUUUUUAUUUUUAAAAAAAUUAAAAUGUUGAUGCCAUUUUCAUUUACUACAACCUCAAUAAAGACAUCUCAUGUAGAAUGAGAGCACAAUCAAAAUUUUUAUGUCAAUCUAUUUCGGUGUUACUUCUUUUCUAGAAGCUCUUUAUCUCUAAUAGUGGAUUCUAAUACGCUAUGUGGACUUAGUGGAUUUAUCUAAUCUUUUGAACUCAAGAUCACCACUUUUGGACUCAAGAUAAAAUAUUUUCAACAGAAAUCAAGUUUUUUUGUGGAUUCAGAAAUAAGAUCUCAAUUGUCUUCAACUCGAGUUACAUUGAAUUGUCUCUUCAUAAACUCAAUAUUUAUGUUGCACAAAUAGUAAAUGCUUCUUCUUUUCACCUGAUCAGCCCUAGUUAUUGGAGCUUAAGAACUUGACCCCUGAGAGAGGUGAGUAGGACAAGUCACCCAAAUUAUUAUCAUUUUUUUAACAAUUUCACUAAACCAAAAAUUACAUAAAAGUUCAAAAAAAUUCAACUAUUUCGAGCAUAUGCUUCUUGGCUCCAAUUUUAGGAAAUCUUUAAUUAUGAGGAGACUAAUUUAAAUUGGUAGGGAAGGUUUCCACAUUGAAAUGUGAGAAAAUUGGUAGCCAAAAUUUUUUACAUUUCAAAUUAACUCAACUAAGUGAUGGACCAUGAAUUGACACAUUUGUAGAAGCACAAGGUCAACAGUAGUAUUAAUAGUAUAAAGGGCUAACGGGCAAACAUUGAUAUAUAAUGUCAUAUGUAGAAACUAGAAUGUGCAAUGUAGGCUUUCCAUUAAGAACUUAAAGAAGGGUACUAAGAGUUCAAAUAGCAUAUUACAUACAAAAAUGCAUGUCUGCGUGAUCUCCCUCUCUCUCUCUCUCNNNNNNNNNNNNNNNNNNNNCUCUCUCUCUCUCUCUCUCUCUCUCUCUCUCUCUCUCUCUCUCUCUCUCUCUCUCUCUCUCUCUCUGUGUGUUCAAAAAGUAGGCCCAUUUCUCGUGGAGAAAUGGGCCUGCUUUUGAAGCCAUAACCGAACUGCAGUGGGAAGAGGCCACUCUCCGAACUGAGGCCCAACAAGAAACCUAAGCCUUAGGGACUGUGGGAAACCCUAGAUCCCCAUCACCAGUCCUUGUGCAGCAGCGCCUAUAAAUUCUACCGCCGCCGACCGCUGAUCUGCUGUUCUGUUCCGUUUACAUGCGCCCCCGGGAGGUUCUCUGCGGCGUCUUCCCCUUCUCGCUCAUCCCAUUAUCUCGUAUGUCAACUCCGGCGCCGGCGGUCAGAUCACCUGGCCCGGGCUUCUCGCGAAUGUGAUAAUUUGUGAAGGCUGCCUUGGUCAUAUGGCCCCGUAGUCGAGAUCGACGGAGCGGUGCCUGAUAGGCAGUAUGAAGUGAUUUAUCCGAACGUGUUUUCUUGCAUGUUUGUUCUCGUCUCUCGGUAUGUCUUCGUUUUUUUCGCUGUGUUUUCCCAUUCGAUUUGAACUUCAAAUGGAAAGUUUACUUCGAAUGUUUGUUAUCGAAUCCCUUACCUUGUUUGGUGUCCGCGACCUCCAUUUUCAUUUCGAUUACCAUAGGAACUGUUGCCUACAAUGGAUGUCUUUCCAUCCGUGCGGACGAUAACCGACCGAAGUUUCUUCCGAUCCAACGCAUUUUCUCGUUAAGUGUGGCUAGAUCUGUCGCGGCCUGUAUUUUCAUUUUUCUGAUUGAAGGAAAAAUUUCAUCACAGCGCAAUCCGUGAUGAAGUAUCAGAUACUGCUGAAGUGCGAUGAUUAUUUCUACAUAAAUCACCAUCUUUCGGCUGAGAUUGCACAAAAGUUGAGGCUCGUCGUGAUUCGAUCCUUUUUCGUGUUCUUGUUUCACACCAUUCGGUUCGGUUUUGUGCAGUUAAUUACUAACAGGGGAUCAUGCGGUGAGGACUCCGGAAAAUUCAAGCUCAACAGACCGUAUUGCAGGCCUCGAUUUAGUCGGGGUUUGCAUGGCGACAUUCCCGCUGAGCUGAGCAUUAAUCUCCUUAAAUUAAUUCUCCAGAUUUCGAUUUCUCGUAAAGACAUCUGGCCGCGUCUUCCAUUACAUUCCGAAUGUUUUUAAGAGCAUCUGUAGUUCUAUGGGGCGCCGAACGGAUUGCAAUGAGGAUAACAAGCUCCCUCUUCUGACCACCAGCUGAGGACAUCCGCAGGCAGAAUCGAACCAUUACUACUUCGCCACCACUGAGCAAUCCAUUCGCGCAUUCGACCCAGAACCACCGAUUUCUUAUUUCUAAUUUUCCAUUUCGUUUUGGAAAUCAUCGCAAGGCGUACCUUGAUUUGAUUUGAGCCCGUCAAUGCCGCUGAUCUGGAUGAAGGUUCUUCGUUGUUCCGGGGGGGUUUUUCCUAUCAGUGGGUGGCCAUAAUCUCUCCCACUGGUGAAUUAAUUAAAUACCAUGAAUUACAUCAUCGUCAUCUCGUAAUAUUCAACUCAAAAUAAUGUUCCGUCACAGUGUCGAUGAAGAAAACAAUGUCAUAGUGGUCUGCCAUUUCUGCCGCUAGAUUGUUAUCACAGUGAUGCGAAGAUGAGCGGUGGCUGGGAAGCCCUCAAAACCCUGUGUUCCAAGGAGCGUGGGUGUCCGGCAUCUCAUAGUGCCUCAUCUUGAACAUCUUAACCCGUUAAGUCAUCAAGAUCCAUACAUACGCAGAGAACUGGUCGGGUCAAGAAGAUUAUGGAAUGACGGUGGUGCGCGGUUGUAGGAGCUCGCCGCCGUCGGCCGCCUCGAGCCGCCUGAGCCAAUGCAGGCCCAGAUCGCAGCCGGCGUCCGCGGCCCUUCUGAACUGCUCCCUCGCCAUCUCCGCCGGCGGCACCUCGGCGCCUCCCCUCCUCCCCAGCUUCCCGUCGAACUUCCUCACCGCAUCGGGGGCCUCCGCGCCUGCCGACCCCGCCAUAGAAUAAAAUCAGCGACCCACCGAACAACCGAGUUCACCGGCGGCCACCACCGCCCGCGGGCAGCGGCUUACCCCUCAGCAGCAGCGCCCCGUACGCAAUCGCCGCGCCGGCGUGCCCCUGCAGCACGGAUUCCGGCAACGGGUCAGUCAUGCGGAGGGGGGGGGAGGGGGGCGUCAGUGCCCUGUGGCGGAGCGGAGGGAGGGAUUAAUUAGUAUCAAUGGUGGAGCGGACCUUUGUGGAAGCUCUGUAGAAGCACCACAUGGCCGAGGCAACAUCUUUCUGGACGCAGUCCCCCGCCAGGAACACCGAGCCGAGCAGAUACAGCGCCGCCGGAUGCAACUGGAGAGGAGGGUCAGGCAGGCGGCGCCGUCAGGGCGGCGGAGGAACAUCAACGGCAGCUAGCCUGCCGGCGAGGGAGGGGCGUACCUGGUCUACCGCCUUUUCUAUGUAGUAGAAGGCCUGCUGAUCCGAUCGGACGUUCUCGUUCUACAAGCUCCCAGCCGCCACCAACACCGAUGAUACCUACAUUGAAGACUUCAAAAGCCCACGAGAUGAAUAGAAAAAACGAAUGGGGAGAACCACAAGAGCCUGACCUGAACCCGCAGAUGGCAGCCAAGCUCAUACUGCGCAUCCGGAUCGCCCAUGUUUGCAGCUUCCACGAGUAAAGCAGCUCCUCUGCAAGAUCAAGGAUCAAACCAGCAAACUCAACAAGGAUCAACCCAUGUUGGUUUGUCAAUAACGCGCAUAGGCUAUAAAUUUACAAAGAAAAACCGACGAAAAAUGCAACGAUCAAGGGGAAAAUACUCCGCGAGGCGCGUAUACAGACGAUCAAUGGGAGGAAGGGAAGAUGAAGACAGAGGCCAAUCAGAUGGCCCCGUCAGCUCUAGAGAAACAAGAAGAGCUUGUUCUCCCCUAAACACAACGUCUUUCCCAUUAUCAUAUCACGGUUCAAGUCACUGUUCCUUGCAUUAUCUACCCUAAUAGCUGCACUUUUCGGACGACAAUACCAUUCUUGCCGUCCGCCGAUUUCUUCCUGCAAAUCUCCCCACUUGAUUUUAGCACGGGUAGGAAUGGUACUGUAGACAUAAUGCAGCAAGUCUGGGGAAAUCCCUGAAAUGAGCAGGCUUCCAUUUGAUGCAAUGCCAUGAUUUGAAACUCUCUCCUCCAGGGGAGCAUUGGGCAUUCGCUCAUCUUCCCCGAGAAACAGUCAUACCCAGGAUCGGACGGGUAAAAUGCUGAAAAUUUAUUGUCAUGCUCAAAGAAAAAUUAAUACUGGGCAGGAGUCGGACGCUCACACAGCUUUGCAGGCCCCCGGGACAUGAUACUUGAAAUGGAGCUUGGACAGCCAAUAUCUUGCGUGGGUGUUCAUGUUGUCGACCUCCAGAGCCAAUUCGAAGUUCUCCUUCGCCGUCUAGAUCACGCGACAGCGUGAAAUAAAACAAGGAACGGUGCUUUCAAGCCCAGAGAACCGCAGGCCCUCCGAAAGGAGAAUAAAAGCUUGAAGAAAGAUCAGCUAGGAACAUGAAGAACAGCGGAAUUGCGGCGGGACUUUCUCGAGCAGCAUGCCCUUGUUCCUCUUUUUUUUUUCUCUGAGGAAGAAGUCCUACUAUAAUUGAUAAUCAGCUUACUCUUAGAAGAGGUAUGAGCCGAGGAUCCCUGAGUUCUGUGUAGUCGAUGACCCUGUCCACUUCGCGAAGAGCGCUCCAUCCCCGGGCGAUGAACUCCAUGGCCUUCUUGUUCCGGCUAUGUAUCCCCCUCUGCGAGAACAGACCAAGCAAUUCACAGAUUGGAAAUACAAAAUAAGGCUGAGGGUUGCUUGUUACGGCCUCCUCGUCGGGGAAACGCCUUGGAAGACUCAAACGGUGAGCGCCGAAUGCGAGGGAUAACCUGGGGAUUCGACAGAGGAAACGCCCUUUCCCAUCGCGGUGAAGCUGCAGCCCUUGACAACAGCCGCAGCAUUGGCGCCCGCCCCCCGCCGGCUCUGAUCCCCUCACAGCCCCGCCUUCCGCGUUCGGAAGGCAAAAACCUCGUGCCGGCGGUGAAUUUCGAGGGCGAUAGAAUCCAGGACCUCAAACGAGACCCCCCCGACGAUUAUCUACUGGGCGUGAAUCAAAACAGCUCCUUCGGCGCACCCGAACUAAUUAGUAAUAAAGAUAUUAGCUUGUUGUUAUAAUUAUUGUUUUAAUCCUCUCUCUCUCUCUCUNUNUNUUCUCUCUCUCUCUCUCUCUCUCUCUCUCUCUCUCUCUCUNNNNNNNNNNNNNNNNNNNNNNNNNNNNNNNNNNNNNNNNNNNNNNNNNNNNNNNNNNNNNNNNNNNNNNNNNNNNNNNNNNNNNNNNNNNNNNNNNNNNNNNNNNNNNNNNNNNNNNNNNNNNNNNNNNNNNNNNNNNNNNNNNNNNNNNNNNNNNNNNNNNNNNNNNNNNNNNNNNNNNNNNNNNNNNNNNNNNNNNNNNNNNNNNNNNNNNNNNNNNNNNNNNNNNNNNNNNNNNNNNNNNNNNNNNNNNNNNNNNNNNNNNNNNNNNNNNNNNNNNNNNNNNNNNNNNNNNNNNNNNNNNNNNNNNNNNNNNNNNNNNNNNNNNNNNNNNNNNNNNNNNNNNNNCUCUCUCUCUCUCUCUUCUCUCUCUCUCUCUCUCUCUCUCUCUCUGAGCUUUCUGAUUCUCUUGACAUCGGCGAUCACCACCUGCUCGGCCUCCUCGAAAGCACAGAACAGAAGGGGCUCCUCAAUCCCCCCACAGGGAACGCAACGGGUAGCCAAGGAAUGGCAUCCUCCAACUCACAGAAAACGAGUACUCGUGUGUAUAACAGACGGGAGAGUUCCCAAGAAACAGAGCUACUCCUCAUCAAGACCUCUCCUCUCUCUACACCAUCAACCUCUCCCGUCACCCGCUUCCGUGAGAGAAGGAAAAGGCAUCCUCAGAAAUUGGUUAUGAGUAAUUCAGAUCAAUCUUGAUGAUGCAGGCGUCAGAAACCAGUGAUUUCUCCGGGCAUCGGCGCCAACUCGGUCCUCCCGAACCUCUCCUCGUCGUAGAACGAGGCUUUCACCACCCGUCCGCCGAAGAACCGCCCGUCAAGAUCGACAAAGGCCUUGGUCGUCUCCUCGGGUCUCUCGAACUGCACGAAGAUCCUCACCGCCUCGUCGUGGGGGAAGUUCGUCUCUGUGAUCUCAAAGAUCAGCACGCGGGUCACCACCCCGUACUUGGAGCACUCCGAGGCCACCUCGUCCUCCAGUUCAUCAUCGACCUCCCCCGGCCCGACCUGGAGAAGAGAGACGACCGGGGUUAUGCACAAGGGGCGUAUUGAUUUCUUCGCACUUCCUGACGAUCGGAUCUCACGAACAAGGAAAUACGAAUCGCCCAGGUCUGGCUGUUGGUUGAUUGGUCUCAAAACCCAAGAACACAUGCAGAACAACACCAAAGGGCAGGCACAACAUUAUAAAUCUCCGGUGCAUAGAAAACAAGAAGAUAUCAAAUGACUUAUGACUCUCUCUGGAAAGGAGCUAGUAAGCGCGCCGACAAAACUGGCACGUGUCCCGAGAGGAUCAAGAUAUGCCGCCUAAGCAACAAAGUCAGACCCUUUCUUUUUAAUCGGGGCACUGGAAAGAUAGGAGUAAAACGUCGGAAAGGUAUAACAGCUAUCAACAAAUGUUCAGAAAAAGAUGUUGGCCAUUCCGACCGCAAGAUCCUUGGCAUCGGUACCCAACUAAAAGUAAAAAGGCCAGACUUUUAUCUGGGAAUCCCAGGUUACCUGCCUCGAGUCUAAAUAGAAGAACAGAAAUUUAAGAUGCGCCUCUGCCUCUACUCUUUUCCAAGUAAAUAAGUAGAGGUGCGGACAUAAUAAUCCCUCCUUUUCUUUCUUUUUUCCCACAAACAAACGUGGUGCGAGUUCCCCUUUGCCUUGACACGAGAUAUCGGGUUGCCCCUUGGAGGCCACACCCAUGGACUCGAUAUCAAUCAAACCCAAAUCAGACAAGAGAGGUGGGGGUGUCCGUAAACUAUCCGGGCGACAUCUUUCAAGGCCUGAAGCCCUAAUUCCGCAUUGUUCUUAAUUACUGAGAAACAGUUUAUUUCCGAAAUCAGUCCAAAUUAUUCGUCGUAAAUCCCCAGAGCCAGUUAACCCCUACACUUGAAUGCACAUUAGAAGCCAUCAACCAAGGCUGAGGGACCCGGAAAACAAUCAAUUGACUAUCGACCAUACCAGAACAACCAGAAACAUUUACCCCUGAUAUUUUUGAACGAUGACAACAGAAUAUGAUCUGAAAUAGUCCUGGGAAGAGUCUGAGAAAAUUUUUGCAUGAAUGCAGUGGGUACCAAAAGUCUAUCCAGACAAUGAUAGAUGAUAUUUGAAUGAAAAUGAGGCCACUUAAAUUUAUGCUUGGGAAAGGGAAGUCGACCAAAAACAACACCGUCACCAAAUUUGGAUGGCAAAACCCCAUCCUUAUAACGUUUCUUAUGAAUGAACAGGGCCAGAACAUGCAGCGCGGACCCGCUCAGAGCUACAAGGGAUGGCAUGUUGGUCACUAGCAGUGUUCAGGGGUGUCAGGUAGCAGUAAAGGGCAACCGGCAACAGCACCCAGUGAACUUAUUUUUCCUCCUCUACUAUUAUGUAUUGAAGCGAACCACACAUCCACAUUCUUCAUCAAUAGCAGCACUGUUGUUGGAAAGUAGCUGAUUCAUGUAACACUAGAUCGUUCCAUAAAAUUGUCAAACUUUCCACAAUAAACCGAUUUCAAGUCAACUCAGUCUAAAUUGGACGAUUGUUUAACACCUAAUUGAAGACAGGGACUACCACUUCAACUAAAGUCUGCUGCCCAUCCUGGGAACCAGUCUUUACCUAUAAACCGUAAUUUAUCCACCCUUUCUAAUGUCCAAUUUGGGCACACAAUAGUAGGUUUCUACCACCUUCAAAAGCAUGCAUACAUUCACAAUGGUCGAGAUAAGUUUCAAACUUUCAGACUUCCAUUCAUUGACCUCUCUUCAGGCAACAAGAGUAGCCAGACCUACAGGUAGCAAACUAAAAGCAGCAUCUUAACUGGGAUCAAGCACAAAAGUCAGACUGAGAUAUAAGGAAGCAAUUCACACCAUAACAAACUUAAUUUGGAUCUAAGAUUAGGGUAGGUAGGUAACCCCAAAAGAUGCUGCUUUGGAGAGGUCCUCCAAAAAUAAAUUCCUGUAUCCAAAUAGACCUAGAUCGGUGAAUGUUCCUUUUAGACCUAGAUCGGUGUUUUCAUGGGCCUAAACUGACAAGUUCAGUUCCUUUUUGGUUGUAUCCUGCAUAGAGCCAUGCACCAACAAUGUUUUCCGAGUCAUACAUGAUUUCAUGAAUAUUUAAAAACAUGUUUUCAGGAAGAUAGUAUGGCUCCCGUUGGUUACAUUAAAACACAAAUCCGAAAAAAUUACUAAAAUUUCGAUUUUAUACAGAUAUUUUCAAAACUCUAAGAGCAGAACAGAAUUCCAACUCGUGUAACCCUAGUGCGUUGAUUUAAAUUGUUAAACGUCACCUUACAUCAAUACGUUAUUUGGAGAGAAGGGUAUAUCUUCGAAUACUGUCUUCUCAAGACAACAAACUAGAACAGGUAAAAAUCACAUAAGCCUAGCAUAAAAACAAUGCAAUUAGAAAUAACUUCCUAAUCAAAAUUAGGCUCAGACUACCAGAUGGUUUGCACACAGUAUGCUAGUUUCCAAGCCAGGCACAUGGAUGUAGGAAAAAGUGAUAGUACGAAACUAACCUUUCUCACGGAACGGACUACAAUGCAAACUAAGUUGACACAAAUAAGUGACUGAAAAAUUCUCUGUUUGGUGCGGUGCAUUUUAUGUGUGUGGCAGGAUAUUAUCACAUUUACGGUUCAAAUUUUACAUAUAACCUAAAAAUACAGAGGGAUUACGAGUGUACCAAAAAAAACAUCAUUCGGACCUAUAUAAGGAGGAGCUGCUAAAAGACUAGGUGGAUAAAAGACUAAGGAACGAAUUACGCACUCAUUAAGAACCAAAAAAAUCAAGAUGCAUACCAUGUUUCUAAGAAGCAGGACACGUGUAGGUGGGCCAUUGAAGUUGACAUUCUUUGGUUUCUUCUCUGGUUUCGUUUCACUGGCAUUGACAAUAACUCCGGCUCUCCUAUCUGUCUUUUUAGCCAUUAAUGGCGUUGUAAUUCCCUGUUCCUGCUUGCCAAGCCCCUGGCCUUCCUUCCAGCCCAUCUUUGCCAUCAUCCUCUGAGCAGCUGUCAUCUGCCCACCAGCACCAAGUCCUAGACCAUCAGAUCCUGACUUUCCAAUGGUGAAACCUUCUCCUGUGGAUGGUGGAGAAGGUGACCUUGGUGGUGCACCACCACUCAAUGCAGCUCGUCUUUUCCAAGCUUCUUCACCUGAGAUAUUCAGUGAAGAAGAUCUCGACUCUUGAUCCUUUGCGUCCCUUUCAGCUGCUUCCCUUUCCCUCUGCUCACGUUCUCGCUCUCUCUCCUCUUCUUCCCGACGCCGAUUGUCAAGCUCCCUACGUAUAGCAGCUUCCUUCGCCUUCCUGGCUCUUUCCCUCCUGUAGUCUUCAUAAUCAUUCGGCCUUGCGGGAUCAUACUCUUCGACUAUGGUAGAUGUCACCCCGACAAGUGCUGGUUGGAACAAUGGACUUUUUGUACCCCCGUUUUCAGAUGAUGCGGGAGUCAAAACAGACGAACUCGCAGCUUUUACAGUCGGUGCGGGAGCAGGUUUUGCCUUGCUUUGUGACUGCUGGUUUUUCAAUACAGAUGGUGGCGUUGAAAACAUUGACGAAGGUUUCCUCAAAGUGGGCGGCGCCAUCUUGGUGCUGCUCGACCACACAGCUGAGUUAUUUCCACUCUUCUCAUCAGCUGCAUUGGAUGACGAGGACGGGGGAGGGAGGUCCCCGUACAAUCCACCCAGCAUCCUCGCUUCUUCUCAGGGAAAGCCAAUUUAGCAAAGGGGCAGCGCUCCUCAGGAGACAAGCGUCAAUAAACCCGACGCUUCUUCACCGGCGAUAUGCCUGCGGAUCCAAGUAAACCUCCUAGUCUUCCUCACGCGCAAUCGACGCAGGGAGACAUGCAGUGAUCUAAGUCAGGGCUUUUCUAGCAAGUGGUGCUGAAGGAGAAGAAACGCAUCGGCGCAUGAACACCGAAAACACCAACGACUGUCUUUUCUUGAAAUCCAAACCCUAAAGAUGAGAACUAGCGUCCGCUCACUACCUCCGCUCGAUCAGAUUUCCGUAAAACUAACACGCAUCUCAGGCAUAAGGACGACUACCUGCAAAAAAUUCAAAACCCCCGAGGAGCCCAAUGACGGAAAACCCUUGUGACCGUCGAGAGAAAGAUCAAACGCCAGAUACGAAUGAGAAGACUGUUGGAAAACCAGAAAAUCACACGAAAAAACUUCUUGAGAGCCCUCCAUAAUCGGACAGAGCCGAAGAAACAUGCCGACUGGGAUAUCCACGGAAUCGAAGGCAAAAAAGUAGGCCCACCUAGGGUGCUCCGGCCCUCUUCUUCCUUCUUCCCCGGCUCCUCGGCACUGCUGUAGAAUAACCUGGGCUAAUGGAGAGGGAAGGAGAGUUGAAGGGUUGCGGAGAUUAAGGCAGGGGAACGAACCGAUUCGGAUCUAGAAACGAGUCAGGUAGGCUGCCUAGACCCAAUUUGGAUCCGUAAUUGCUAUCGGUAUCUCCUCGGUAGGAAUCCCCACUCCCGUCGCGUUAUAAUAAAUAUUAUAAAUAUAUAUAUGAUGUAAAAUGAAUAAUUGUUCAAUUGAAUAAAUUCGGAAAUACGAUCAUUUUAUUUGAAAAUACAAUGCCAACGUCAAAUAUCAAACACGCUGAGUAAUACGUGAUGAAUAAUGAAAAUUCAGUAAAAAUAAUAUUUUUUUCCUCACCGCGCCUGACCUCGAUCUGGGCGUCAUAAAAAUAAAUAGACUAACGUAGAUCAUCUCGAGGGUAAAUAAGAUACUUUAAAGUUAUGUGAAGUAAAAAAUGGUUGAUAUUACUGUAAUUAUAAGAAAGUUUGUUCUUAUUAUGCUUCAAAUGACCUAAAAAAAAAA